GACGAGGUGUGAUAAUUGGUAGUCGGCCAGCCUGGAAAGUUGGUGCCCGUUUUACGGGUUGUGAGUUCGAGUCUCAUCCUCGUCG
rnacentral:tRNA from 4 species